AACGCAUAUUGCGCUCUUUGGUAUUCCGAAGAGCAUGCUUGUUUGAGUAUCAGUAAACACCUCAAAACUUUUUUUUAUUUUUUGAAAAACAGUUUUGGACUUGAGCAAUCCCAACACCAAUCUUUUUUAGAUCGGUGGCGGGUUGCUUGAAAUGCAGGUGCAGCUGGACAUUCUCCUGAGCUAAAAGCAUAUUUAUUUAGUCCCGUCAAACGGAUUAUUACUUUUGCUGCAGCUAAUAUAAAGGGAGUUUGACCGUUUUGGCUGACUGAUGCAGGAUUUCACAAGGGUCGGCAACGAUUCUUGUAAAACUCGAUCUCAAAUCAAGUAAGACUACCCGCUGAACUUAA
rnacentral:misc_RNA from 1 species